CUAUGAAGACAGGCUGUGAGAGUUAGGGUUGUUCAGGCUGGAGAAGAGAAGGCUCCAGGGAGACCUUAUACCAGCCUUCUAGUACCCAAAGGAGGCCUACAGAAAAGCAGGAGAGGGACUCUUCAUCAAGGAGUGAAGUGAUAGGACUAAGGGUA